rnacentral:rRNA from 1 species
AUUGAACGCUGGCGGCAGGCUUAACACAUGCAAGUCGAGCGAGCGGCGGACGGGUGUGUAAUGUCUGGGAAUGCGUCUGGUGGAGGGGUAUAUCUUCUGGAAACUGUAGCUAAUACCGUAUCCCAUCAGAUGUGCCCAGAUGGGAUUAGCUAGUAGGUGGGGUAAUGGCUCACCUAGGAGACGAUCUCUAGCUGGUCUGAGAGGAUGACCAGCCACACUGGAACUGAGACACGGUCCAGACUCCUACGGGAGGCAGCAGUGGGGAAUAUUGCACAAUGGGCGCAAGCCUGAUGCAGCCAUGCCGCGUGUGUGAAGAAGGCCUUCGGGUUGUAAAGCACUUUCAGCGAGGAGGCGUUACUCGCAGAAGAAGCACCGGCUAACUCCGUGCCAGCAGCCGCGGUAAUAC